ACCCAAGUGGCGAAAUUGGUAAACGCGAUGGAUUCAAAAUCCUUUACUAUAUUAAAGUUUAUCGGUUCGAAUCCGAUCUUGGGUA
rnacentral:tRNA from 1 species